UAAUAAGUGUUUUAUGGCACUUUUUAAAUCCAUAUCCACCUUGUGUGCAAUGUCGGUCGAUCUUUCUUCUUGGAAGAUCGGCCAAACAUCAACUUAUUUUUUUAACUCUUUGUCUGAAAAAUAUUAUGAAUAAACAAUUCAAAAUA
rnacentral:misc_RNA from 1 species